AAGCCCCCUUCUGGUCGUCGUCUUUAUUUAUUUUUUUCUCCAAGACAAAUGCCUGAAUCUUUAAACGUGUAAAUCCACCCAGUCUUCCAGGAAUUGUUCCUCUUACACCUAAAUUUAUUUUUCUGAUAUGCAUAGUGUCACCCCAGAAAAGUAACCCUGUGCACCCAACAUCCUUCUUGAACCAUGACAGUGAGAGAAAGAGUGAGGUCUCUCAUAAGAUGGCCUUCCUCACCGUCUUUAUCUUUUUAAAUGCGGACCACCCCAAGGGUCGAGACUUCUCGCCCACGCUCUUGGUGGGUUCCGUGGGUGAUGAACCACAGCACCAAGGCAGGAAUGAAUACAUGUGGCCUGGUCUGCAAAAGAGGAAUUUUUGUUUUCUUCAUCCAUGCAGCGGCCCUUGCUUUUUCUCCAAAGGGCUGACGUAUCAAAAAACCCACCUCUUCAUUUUGUCAAAAUUAUCUUUGAUUUGUACUAUCUGAAAGCUGUUUAGCCCCACUCCACCCAAGGUGUACUCCUGGCGAGACAUCUGAGAAGACGAGUAAAAUUCCAAUUACACAUGAUUUUCCUUAUUUGUAAUUAUAGACAUUUAAACGGAUGCCCUAAAGGAAAAAUGAAUGUACCACAUUCACUCCUGUUACUUUUCUUUUUGGGGAAAAAAUGAGGUGGGUUUGUACCCUGAGAGUUAAUCGGGCCGUGGUGUGUGCAGGUGGGCGUGUAUCACAUAGAUCAUCUGUAACCUCCGGUUUUAGGAAGAACUCCAAGAAAUCUCAGCCGCCAAGGCAAAAUAAAGACUUGCUUUUUCUGCAGUUGCACAGCAGGUAAAAUGAAAUCUAUUCUCCCUUCCUGCAGUCCUGCCAGCAGAGGCUGUUUUAACGAAGGGCAAACUCAGUGGAGGAUGGCAGCUGGGAUGAAGGACCGGGGCCACAGCCUGCGCAGCCUGGUUGUUCUCCUCUGCGGGGUGCAUGGGUGGGGGGGGUGCUCCGGCUUGAGAAGGUGGGGGGGGGCUCGGCAGUCAGCCUCCAGGGGCCUCUGCGGCGGUUUGUGAGACUCUCGUUUUAGGCUCUUAACCGCCUUCAAAGCUAGAGUCUUUGGUUACUAAUUAUUCCCCGAUCUUCCCGAAGUGAACUGAGCGGAGCUCUUCAAACGGACGUAGAGUACUUGCUGUGUUCUAUUAGUUUAAACGGCAGGGAAAAUGCUCUCCUGAUCUCAAGAAAUCAUAAUGCAGACCAAAUCAUAGGAAAUGAAAACGUCUGGUGUCACAGCCUCUGCCUGAGCGAAGGGGGCCGUGGAGAGGGUCUGAGGCAGGAGCCAAGGCCAGAUGACUGCUGUUCUAGGGGCCCCUGUGGGGUCUGCGCAGAAGCUAGGCUCAGAGAGGGGGCGUGACCGAAGACAAAGCUGGGGGCGUGGCCGAAGGCAAAGCCGGGGGCGUGGCCGAAGGCAAAGUUGGGGGGCCUAGGGGGGGGGGGGUUGACCCAGAGCAGCAGCGCUGCAGGGGCUGGAAGGAUGGCAUUCCGUAGGCUCAUUUCCAACGUAGAUGCAAUAUCCUGGACUGCCGCGGGAUUACAGUCCCGAGGGCCAGGGUUUGACCAGCCACACGCCUAGUCCUGGGAGGCAUGGGAGGCAUGACAGUCGUUUCCAACAUUUUCUCCGCGCCCCUCUGCCCAUACACCCUAUAGAAAUGCUGCUCAGCCCACAGCCCCAGUGGUGACAUCGCCACCAUCCAGCACCAGGCACCAUGCUAGCCGUAUGCGCUCCUGGCUGCGGGGGUGGGAGGUGCUUGAUUCCCCCAUCCCCACCCUCUGUCCAUCCUGGAAACUUGGCACCAGGCGUGUUUGGAUUACCAACCCAAGUGUGGGACUGGAUGGGGCCACCGGAACACUCUCUGUAAGGCUGUGUUGACCCUGGCGUCAGGGAAGGUCUCUGAUCUGGUUAUUGACCUAGCAGGAGGAGGGAAGGGGAGGACUUUGAACUUGGGCUCGUCAGUCUCCCGUUCCCCACCUUUACUGAGAUGGAACUAGCACAUGACGAUGGGUAAGGUUAAGGUACCUGCUGUGCUUUGAUGCCUUUCCAGGUGGUGAGCUGCUUACCACAGGACCAUCAGCCAACACCUCCGUCAUGUCCUGAAGUCACCAUUUCUUUUUAUGGUGGGAGCAUUAGAGAUCUACUCUCUCAGCCAUAGCCAAGAGUACAAUACACUGUGGAUAACUGCAGCCACCAUGCAGUACCUGAGAUCGCCAGAACGCAUGCCUCUUAUAACUGGAAGUUUGUAACCUUUGACCAGUGUCUUUCCAUUGCCCCAACCCCAGCCCCUGGUAACCAACUUUUUUUAAAUAAGUUUUAUUGAAAUGUAGUUAAUUUACAAGGUUGUGAUGAUAGCUGCUGGACAAACGGGACUCUGUCACACAUAUACACAAAUCCAUUCUCUCUUAGAUGCUUUUCAAAUGAUGACAGAAUAUUGGGUAGAUUACCCUGUGCUAGUCAGCAGGUCCCCGUUAGCCAAUCAUUCCAGACCUCAGUGUGCAUGUGCCAACCCCACAACCUCAGUCCAUCCCUCCCCCUUCCCCCUGAGCCACCUGUCCCCUUUGGGAACCAUAGGUUCUUCAAAGUCUGUGAGUCUGUUUUGCAAAAAAGCUCAACCUAUUUGUCCUUUUUUUUUUUUUUUAAGAUGCCACAUAUAGAUGAUAUUAUAUGAUGUUUGUCUUUCUCUAACUUCCCUUAGUAUGACAGUUUCUAGAUUCAGCCACAUUGCUGCAAAUGGCAUUAUUUCAUUCUUUUUAUGGCUGAUGAGUAUUCCACUGUGUAUGUAUACCACAUCUUCUUUAUCUAUUCCUCUGUUGAUGGACAUUUAGGUUGCUUCCAUGUCUUGGCUAUUGUGAAUAGUGCUGUAGUGAACACUGGGAUGCAUGGAUCUGUUUCUGAGUUCAGUAUGUGUUAUGUGUGUGUGUGUGUGUGUUUAGAUUGCACAUGUGAGAUUCUACAUGAUUUGUCUCUUUCUGUUUUAUUGCACUUAGCUUCAUGCUCUCAGAGUCCAUCCACGUUGCUGAAAAAGGCAGGAUGUCGUUCUUUCUUCCAGCUAAAUAAUUUUUCUGUUGAGGGAGGGAGUGUGUGUCUGUCACAUUUUUGUCUCUCCAUCCGUAGAAGAACCCCUUAGGUUGUUUCCAUGUCUUGGCCGUCGUGAAUAAUGCGGCAGCGAACGUGGAGUGUAGAUACUGAAAUCCUGUUCUCAUUUCAGAUCAGUUCCCUAGAGUGGAAUUGCUGGAUCAUGUGGCAGUUCGAAUUUUAUUUUUUUGAAGAAUCUCUGUGCGGUUUUGCAUAGUGGCUGCACCAAUGUACAUUCCCACCAACAGUGAACAAGUGUUUCCUUUUCUCUGUAUCCUCGGCAAAACUUAUUUCUUUUCUUUUUGACGAUGGCCGAUCCAACAGGUAGGAGGUCCUUUCUCACUGCGGUUUUGAUCGCGAGCCUCUUUUCGUGUGGCUGUUGCCUAUGUGCUUGUCUUCUCUGGACCUCCAUCUCUUUCCGCGUCCAAACCCAUGAAACAUAUAUGAUGUAUGGCUUGUGGGCAGGAGCGCCCUCCCGUGGUGGCUUAGGAGUUCCAUGAGCACUUUGACAGUGGGGGCCUUGUCAAGUUUCCCACGCGUGCGCCCCUUGAGGUUUCUUACGGUAGAGCAAUGAGCUUAACGCUGAUUCCAGUCAAGAAUUUGGAACGCCUUAGCUAAUCUUUGCCUUCCUGAGCGCUAAGAAGGGAAGUGGUGAUUUAAUCCUAUGCUGUUCCCCCCCCCCGCGCCCGCCCCCCCUCCCCCAGGAUGGACAUGGAACCAGUCAGUAAAAGUUAUAUGAAGGUUGAUUUAUUACUAGAAAGCAGGUUUCAAACAUUGCUGUUGGAGUUCCUGAAGUGGCUCGGGGGUAAGGAACCCAGCUAGGAUCUAUGAGGACGUGGGUUCGAUUCCCGGCAUCACUCAGUGGGUUAAGUAUCCUGUGUUGCCGUGAGCUGUGGUGUAGGUCACAGAAGAGGCUUGGAUCGGGUGUUGCUGCUGUGGUGUAGGCCAGCAGCUGCAGCUCUCAUUCGAUCCCUAGCCUGGGAACUUCUACAUGCUGCAGGUGUGUUCCUAAAAAAAACAGAAAAAAAAAAAA
rnacentral:lncRNA from 1 species